CAUGCAUGGAUGCGGGAACUUUUGCGGUGACAACCUUGACUGAAUGUGUAGGUAUGAGGUGUCGACAAUGUUGCCACCAGUCUUGAAAUACCACUCUUUCGUCGGAGGAUGUCUAACUAAUAGUUGAAGGCGGGGCACUGCAUGAUGGGUAGGUUUUCUGGGGUGGAAACCUCCCAAAGAGUCACGGAGGUGUGCGAAGGUAGGCUCAGGCUAAUAAUCUAAAAGCUUUAGAGCGUAACGGUAUGAGCCUGCCUGACUGUGAGACUUACUAGUCGAACAGAGACGAAAGUCGGCCAUAGUUAUCCGGAUGUCCUGUGUGGAAGUGUUCUCGCUCAACUGAUCAAAGGUACGCUG
rnacentral:ncRNA from 1 species